rnacentral:rRNA from 1 species
ACCUAAGAGAUUAGGCGUUCCCUUCGGGGACGGAAUGACAGGUGGUGCAUGGUUGUCGUCAGCUCGUGUCGUGAGAUGUUGGGUUAAGUCCCGCAACGAGCGCAACCCUUAUUGUCAGUUGCCAGCAUUUAGUUGGGCACUCUGGCGAGACUGCCGGUGACAAACCGGAGGAAUGCGGGGAUGACGUCAAAUCAUCAUGCCCCUUAUGACCUGGGCUACACACGUGCUACAAUGGGUGGUACAACGAGCAGCGAGACCGCGAGGUCAAGCGAAUCUCUAAAAACCAUCCUCAGUUCGGAUUGCAGGCUGCAACUCGCCUGCAUGAAGCUGGAAUCGCUAGUAAUCGCGGAUCAGCACGCCGCGGUGAAUACGUUCCCGGGUCUUGUACACACCGA